UUUUUGUUUCUUUAUCUUAUAUUUCACUGAUUAUGGUCAGUGAAAGUAAGAUAUCACUGUAAAAUCAGUUAUCUGUUGGUAAUGCUAAAUGAUGGUCCGAGGAAGCGGAACAGGAUUGUGAUCUCAGUGAUGUGUGAAACAGAAGACGAGAACGAAGUAUACGUGACGAAGGACGAAGCGGUGCUAAGUGUACAUUACGAAGAAUGAGAGAAACUGCGGUACUGAGCUAAGCGUGCUUGCAAAAAAGGUGAGGUUAAAACAUAAACCACGGCGUAUUGAACCAGAGAACUGAACAUCGAACAGAAUAAGAUUAUUAAUCUCGGUUAUCGUUGGAAACUUAUCAAAAAGGAAAGAACAUUGAUAAGGGACAACAUGAUGAUCCUCCUAUUUUUCCAAAUUCUUCGUUGAUACAGAUAUGGCCUGAAGGAACAAACAUAGAGGCACAAGCUCGUAAGCUAAGGAAUGUUUAAUUUUUAAUUGACUUCAUUCUGUAAACAUUUUGUACGUAACAAUUACAUUGUUGAAUAAAAAAUUAUAACAUGUAUUAAGGUUAUUACUUUUUGUUACUGUUUGCUGGGACAUUUACUGAUUUAAUCAGCUUGCAUUGCUGAUUUUGCUUGCAUUACUGAUUUUAUCAGCUCACAUUACUGAUUUUGCUGCUUUAAGUCACUGUUUCUAGUAGUCCAGUAUUACUGAUUGAAACAGUCAAUAAUAACUAAUUCUUUCAGUGAAAUGUCACUGAUUCUCAGUGGUAUACUUAUAACUGCUUCAAUCAGUGACUAUUUACUGUUUCUCAGUAAAAAUACACUGAUUCUCUUUUAG